CUUGCCCGAACUUUUACUCCUCCUAUGACCAUCAUCUUCCUCAUUUAUUCCAUCUCCAUCCUUUCUAUCCAUUCUUCCACUCCAUCUAGCUCUCCUUGAAGGUUGAAGAAAAGUGUGUCCUUCCCUGAAGCUUGGGUUUCUACUAGAGUUCUUGUAAUCCGGAAGCGAGGUGAAGAGGAGCAACGAGCCGCCGGUGCUUCCACGAAGGCUAGGACCACCGGGCAAUAAUCUUGGAUUUCUAUUGAAUUUAGGAGAUCAUCAAUGGGGGGUUAAACCGUGACCUUGUUGACAAGAUGUUUUGGAAAAUGAGACUGCAGUUUCACACUGUGUCCGUUUGGUGAAAUAAUCAACGGCCAUCUGAUAUUCAGUCUCGGGUUACCGAGGAUAAAUAAAUGAUCUCUGUUAUUCUGGCUUAGGCCACUGAGGGUAAAAAAAUGACUUCUGGCAUCUAUAGUGAAUUUGGAGACAUACACUUAAAUCUAUUACUUUUUUA